rnacentral:rRNA from 1 species
GAUGAACGCUGGCGGCGUGCCUAAUACAUGCAAGUCGAGCGAAUGGAUUAAGAGCUUGCUCUUAUGAAGUUAGCGGCGGACGGGUGAGUAACACGUGGGUAACCUGCCCAUAAGACUGGGAUAACUCCGGGAAACCGGGGCUAAUACCGGAUAAUAUUUUGAACUGCAUGGUUCAAAAUUGAAAGGCGGCUUCGGCUGUCACUUAUGGAUGGACCCGCGUCGCAUUAGCUAGUUGGUGAGGUAACGGCUCACCAAGGCAACGAUGCGUAGCCGACCUGAGAGGGUGAUCGGCCACACUGGGACUGAGACACGGCCCAGACUCCUACGGGAGGCAGCAGUAGGGAAUCCUCCGCAAUGGACGAAAGUCUGACGGAGCAACGCCGCGUGAGUGAUGAAGGCUUUCGGGUCGUAAAACUCUGUUGUUAGGGAAGAACAAGUGCUAGUUGAAUAAGCUGGCACCUUGACGGUACCUAACCAGAAAGCCACGGCUAACUACGUGCCAGCCGCCGCCGCGG